rnacentral:tRNA from 1 species
GCUCCCGUAGCGCAACGGAUAGAGCGCCACGCUUCGGACGUGGAGGUUCCAGGUUCGAAUCCUGGCGGGAGCGCCA